ACGGCUCAGUAACACGUGGACAAUCUGCCCUAAAGAAGAGAAUAAUCCCGGGAAACUGGGGGUAAUGCUCUAUAGUCCGGAAUGACUGGAAUGUUAUCCGGAUGAAAGGUCCGCCGCUUUAGGAUGAGUCUGCGGCCGAUUAGGUAGUUGUUGGGGUAAAAGCCCAACAAGCCCGUAAUCGGUACGGGUUGUGGGAGCAAGAGCCCGGAGAUGGAUUCUGAGACACGAAUCCAGGCCCUACGGGGCGCAGCAGGCGCGAAAACUUUACAAUGCGGGCAACCGUGAUAAGGAAACCCCGAGUGCCAGCACAGGCUGGCUGUCCACCAGUGUAAAAAACUGGUGAAGAAAGGGCCGGGCAAGACCGGUGCCAGCCGCCGCGGUAAUACCGGCGGCUCGAGUGGUGGCCGCUUUUACUGGGCUUAAAGGGUCCGUAGCUGGAUUCACAAGUCCCUUGAGAAAUCUAUCGGCUUAACUGAUAGGCGUUCAGGGGAUACUGUGGUUCUAGGGACCGGGAGAGGUGAGAGGUACUGCCGGGGUAGGAGUGAAAUCCUGUAAUCCCGGUGGGACGACCUAUGGCGAAGGCAUCUCACCAGAACGGCUCCGACAGUGAGGGACGAAAGCUGGGGGAGCAAACCGGAUUAGAUACCCGGGUAGUCCCAGCUGUAAACGAUGCGCGUUAGGUGUGUCAGUGACCACGUGUCACUGAGAUGCCGAAGGGAAACCGUGAAACGCGCCGCCUGGGGAGUACGGUCGCAAGGCUGAAACUUAAAGGAAUUGGCGGGGGAGCAC
rnacentral:rRNA from 1 species